UACGUAGGGCGCAAGCGUUGUCCGGAAUUAUUGGGCGUAAAGAGCUCGUAGGCGGUUUGUCGCGUCUGCUGUGAAAACUCGAGGCUCAACCUCGAGACGUCGGUUGAAACCGUCUGGCUAGAGUCCGGAAGAGGAGAGUGGAAUUCCCGGUGUAGCGGUGAAAUGCGCAGAUAUCGAGAGACCAGCGAGGCGAGCGGUCGCG
rnacentral:rRNA from 1 species